rnacentral:rRNA from 1 species
CCUACGGGUGGCAGCAGUGGGGAAUAUUGCACAAUGGGCGCAAGCCUGAUGCAGCGACGCCGCGUGAGGGAUGAAGGCCUUCGGGUUGUAAACCUCUUUCGUCAGGGAACAAGGCACCGUCUUUUGGUGGUGUUGAGGGUACCUGGAUAAGAAGCGCCGGCUAACUACGUGCCAGCAGCCGCGGUAAUACGUAGGGCGCAAGCGUUGUCCGGAAUUAUUGGGCGUAAAGAGCUCGUAGGCGGCUGGUCGCGUCUGUCGUGAAAACUUCCGGCUCAACCGGGGGCUUGCGGUGGGUACGGGCCGACUAGAGUGCGGUAGGGGUAACUGGAACUCCUGGUGUAGCGGUGGAAUGCGCAGAUAUCAGGAAGAACACCGAUGGCGAAGGCAGGUUACUGGGCCGUUACUGACGCUGAGGAGCGAAAGCGUGGGGAGCGAACAGG